rnacentral:rRNA from 1 species
GACGAACGCUGGCGGCGUGCUUAACACAUGCAAGUCGAGCGGUAAGGCCCUUUCGGGGGUACACGAGCGGCGAACGGGUGAGUAACACGUGGGUGACCUGCCCUCAGCUCUGGGAUAAGCCUGGGAAACCGGGGUCUAAUACCGGAUAUGACUCCAUGGCGCAUGUUGUGGGGUGGAAAGCCUUGUGCGGCUGAGGAUGGGCCCGCGGCCUAUCAGCUUGUCGGUGGGGUGANGGCCUACCAAGGCGACGACGGGUAGCCGGCCUGAGAGGGCGACCGGCCACACUGGGACUGAGACACGGCCCAGACUCCUACGGGAGGCAGCAGUGGGGAAUCUUGCGCGAUGGGCGAAAGCCUGACGCAGCGACGCCGCGUGAGGGAUGACGGCCU